UACAGAGGAUGCAAGCGUUAUCCGGAAUGAUUGGGCGUAAAGCGUCUGUAGGUGGCCAACUAAGUCAGACGUGAAAUCCCUCGGCUUAACCGGGGAACUGCAUCUGAUACUGGAUGGCUUGAGUUCGGGAGAGGGAUGUGGAAUUCCAGGUGUAGCGGUGAAAUGCGUAGAUAUCUGGAGGAACACCGGUGGCGAAGGCGGCAUCCUGGACCGACACUGACGCUGAGGAGCGAAAGCGUGGGGAGCGAACAGG
rnacentral:rRNA from 1 species